rnacentral:sRNA from 1 species
UGGAUAACAGACCCUAGGUAGCGGAAGUC